rnacentral:rRNA from 1 species
CCUACGGGAGGCAGCAGUGAGGAAUAUUGGUCAAUGGGCGGGAGCCUGAACCAGCCAAGUCGCGUGAGGGACGACGGUCCUAUGGAUUGUAAACCUCUUUUGUCGGGGAACAAAUGCGCCACGGGUGGGCGGAUGAGUGUACCCGAAGAAAACGCAUCGGCUAACUCCGUGCCGGCAGCCGCGGUAAUACGGAGGAUGCGAGCGUUAUCCGGAUUUAUGGGGUUAAACGGGUGCGUAGGGGGACGGUCAAGUCCGCGGUAAAAAUGCGGUGCUCAACGCCGUACAGCCGUUGAAACUGGCACUCUUGAGUGGGCGAGAAGUAUGCGGAAUGCGUGGUGUAGCGGUGAAAUGCAUAGAUAUCACGCAGAACUCCGAUUGCGAAGGCAGCAUACCGGCGCCCUACUGACGCUGAGGCACGAAAGCGUGGGUAUCGAACAGGAUUAGAUACCCUUGUAGUC